AUGGUUAGACACUGGUCUCUUACGCGGGAGGUUGUUGGUUCAAUUCCCAA
rnacentral:tRNA from 12 species